GAUGAACGCUAGCGGCAGGCCUAACACAUGCAAGUCGAGGGGUAGAGGAAGCUUGCUUCCUUGAGACCGGCGCACGGGUGCGUAACGCGUAUGCAAUCUACCUUGUACAGGGGGAUAGCCCAGAGAAAUUUGGAUUAAUACCUCAUAGUGUUUAAGAGUGGCGUCACUUUUUUACUAAAGUUCCAACGGUACAAGAUGAGCAUGCGUCCCAUUAGUUAGUUGGUGUGGUAACGGCAUACCAAGGCAAUGAUGGGUAGGGGUCCUGAGAGGGAGGUCCCCCACACUGGUACUGAGACACGGACCAGACUCCUACGGGAGGCAGCAGUGAGGAAUAUUGGGCAAUGGAGGCAACUCUGACCCAGCCAUGCCGCGUGCAGGAAGACGGUCCUAUGGAUUGUAAACUGCUUUUGUACGAGAAGAAACACUCCUUCGUGAAGGAGCUUGACGGUAUCGUAAGAAUAAGGAUCGGCUAACUCCGUGCCAGCCGCCGCGGUAACAC
rnacentral:rRNA from 1 species